UUACUCUUGAGACUCUGGUUUUCUCUGCUAACAUUUUUCUCUGCUGUUCUCUCUAGACUUUGAGAUUCACCAAACUCAUUUGGAGGAAGAAACCCUACUGAGGUUGGAAGGAAUACUAAGGAUAGAUCAAGGACCCUCCUCUAAUGACACAUGAUCUCACUCUGUCACCCAAGCUGGAGUGCAAUGGUAUAAACACGAUUCACUGCAACCUUGAACUCCUGGGCUCAAGUGAUCUUCUCAUCUCAGCUUUCAAGUAACCAGGACUACAGGUCAAGGAUACAGAAGGAAACCCCUUCACCACAUAGAAUGAAAAGAUUAGGAUUUAAAAAUGAAGAUUUAUUUACAGCAAAUGAGUCAUUCUGCAUCACGCAAGUCACUGUAGCGGGUUCUCUUGCAUGCCAAUAGUUUUUCUUUGUUUACUCACUAUAGUUGACUAUCUAUGGACAACUAGUCCUAUCCUAUUUUGGUUUUAAGAAAAACUAUUAAGGCUAAGAGCAAAGUUGUUUAUUUUUUGUCAUCCAAGUUUCUGAGAUGUUUUAGAUAAGCAAUUCACCACUGUCUUUGAUCUCAAACUAUCAGCUUCAAAGUAUAACAUUUAAAAAUAAUUUUAUAUGGUUUCUAUUAUUUUGCCUGCCUUGCA
rnacentral:lncRNA from 13 species